UACGUAGGGGGCAAGCGUUGUCCGGAAUCAUUGGGCGUAAAGCGCGCGUAGGCGGCCCGGUAAGUCCGCUGUGAAAGUCAAAGGCUCAACCUUUGAAUGUCAGCGGAUACUGCUGGGCUAGAGUCCGGAAGAGGCGAGUGGAACUCCUGGUGUAGCGGUGGAAUGCGCAGAUAUCAGGAAGAACACCAACGGCGAAGGCAGCUCGCUGGGACGGAACUGACGCUAAGGCGCGAAAGCGUGGGGAGCGAACAGG
rnacentral:rRNA from 1 species